AGAGUGUGUGCAGUGAGUUUGGCUAGCUAAUGUGCAGUGCUGGUUGCAGUCUGUCUCACUCUAAUGAAUUCUGCAGUGCCUUAAGUUUAAAAAAGGCGCUUCCAGACUACAGUACGGUCUGGAUGUCUAGCAGGAAAAGACUAACACAGGCUGCUCCGGAGAGCUUGAUUAGCCGACUCACCGCAGCUAUGCUAAUCAUGCACCUAGCACUGCUCCACUGAACCGGCUCUGCUCCUCAUCUCUGCAACUAGACAAAUAGUCUGAACUCCUCCCUCUUUCGUCUGAAUUCUCACCUGAAAACAACAUUAGUGUCCUGAUCCGACAACCCUGGAGCCAUUGUUGCCACACCUUUUGGAUCAACAACGCACACUUUCAGCAGAACAGAUCCAGUUCCGCUUCAAUCCGCCCAAUGCUCCUCACCUUGGCGGGUCAAGGGAAAGCGGUGCGAUCGCUAAAGAAAGCCCUCUGCACCAAUGCAAGCAUGAAUCUUGGGCUCUUGUCAUAUUGCAUAGUUGCUGUGCAGAGAGGCCUUUGAUAGCAUGUUUAGGGCAAAUGGAGCUUACAGAACAUUUAAUUUUUUUUUUCUCAAAUUAAAUAAGUUCAUAUAUGUAGGGUUAGUUGUAAGUUUAUCAAAAUCGUUUGUAGAUACAUUGAAAUCCAGUGUGCUAGUGUGUGAUUUUUGAGUAGCCUCUUCUUGACGCACAGUUCCUCUUCUACGACUGCAGAAACAAGACUGGAUGAAGAUGCAACAGGCAUGGUGACACAGUUCCCAACUGUCACUGUAAAGAUGUAAAAAAAAAAAGUGUGUAGUUCUAGUAAAACCAUAAUAUAUAUUUAAUACAUCUAUAUUAAAGUAUCUAUCUAUCUACUUGUAGCAGGUAAAACCAGCCCCUUGUUUGGAACAGACGUAAUUUGAGUUGUGUUUCGUGAUAAUGAUGAAGAUGUGAGAAACUAGAGGUCAGAGCCAUUCUUCUUGGAAGCAAUCAGUAAAAUGGCCUCAUUAAAUUUGAUGACCUUGACCUUUCUAAGGAUCAAACUAACAGCUUUGUUGUGUUUACAGACUACAGCCGUUCCAAAAGCAGCUAUUGAUCACAGCGGAAAUCUCAACAUAUGAUGAUAAACAACUAGUCAUGCACCCCUUACCCUCAUCCAGAACCCGGAGGCUGUCGGGGCUGGUAAUUAUAGGGACUGCUAGUAAACCAGGCACAUCCAUGACUACUUUUAGUGAACAGUCACACCCAUCCCUGGAAUUCCUGGAAGUGAACAUUCCUGGUUUGGCUGCGUCAAAGUGCCUACUGUAAUUAUGUGGCCUUUAAUUGUGCUCUGUUAACACCGUCAGGUUGGGAUGAGCUGUGACCAGAGAAGAGCCUCUUGUCUGUGGAUUUGAGGCCGAUUGGAUUUGGUGGGAACAGUUUGUAUUGUUAUAAAGGAUCAUUCUUUUGUCACCAUUUCGUUCUGCCGUGAUCAGAAGAGAAAAACAAUAAGAGAGGAAAAAAAGGCAAAGCACUCGGGCCCUGUUGGAGGUUUUCGAGUCCUCUACUUAUGACUGUUUUUGUUUUAUUUGUUUCGGGAUGUAACAAGUAAAGUAUUACAAAGGACUAAAUCAGGAGCAGUUAGCAACUUUUGUUCAUUGAUAAUUCUGUUCCUUUGUCUUGUUUCUCCCUCACUUCAGAGAAGUGUUGAGAGGGGGAAAAGUGGCAUGGGUUGGACACACACACACACACACACACACCGAAGUCUUAAUUUAGGUUUCUGAUUUGUGGGUUUGUUGUAGUAGUGUGACAGAACGCUCCACUUUAAGGUAACACAUCUUUAUUGCAAUAUUUUACGUUAGCUGUCACAUCCUAUGUCCCAUGUCUGAGCGCUUAACGUUUAUUAAACAUAACGGUAUGAAGUACCUGGUGACCAAUCUCCAUCCGGUCUAGCUAGUAUAUUCAUAAAUGGUGGUUGGGUUUUGGCAAAGGGUCUGAUAGGUCACCUUCUAUACAAGGUGAUACAUCAGACCAACAAUAGUUUUGGAAAUCUCUUUUGACAAAGGAAGGAGAAUGUACAAAACAUCCAGGUUUUUGAAUUCUGCUUGGAAUAAGUUGCUUCACGUGUUUUAAGGCAGCCAGAGAGAUACUGUGGGUAUUCGCACAGUCACAGCUAAACCAGGCCAGGCCGCCACACCGCAAGGUAAAUGGGAAUCUUAUACUCAGCCUCCUUCAUCCUUUCCUUCAAAUUCCAGGGAUAUUUCUGUCUUCCCACGCCAAGUAAACAAACUAACACAAAGACUAAGGAAUGUAGACAAGUCCCUCUGAUGUCUCUGUGUGUGCGUGUCUGCGUGUGUGCGUGUUUACAAAUUUGAAUUCAAGAUUCAAUGUGAAGCAAUGGAGCUGUUUACAUUGUUCAGUUAUUUAUUUACUUGGUAGUUUGAAUUAUUUAAGAAUUUAAUUUGAUCUGUCAACUAUUUAACCAUUAAUGUUAGCCAGUUAUUUCAAUCAUCUAUGCUGUUCUUUUAGCAAAUAUGUAAUCGGUUUAAUUCUACUUACAAAAAGGUUUAAACCUAAACCUCUGUUUGCUAACACGCUCUGGACUUCACGUGGCACGAUAUGUAGAUAUGCUUUUGAUUCUUUGAUCUAGUUAUUUGAGGUAUACCCUGCAAAUCUGUUUUGAUAUCACUACCCUAGAGAAGAAGCCACUGCUGUCACAUCAGUCUGCAAGCGUAGAAAAUACAUUUGACCUACAGUCUCGGGAACUACAGUACAUCCUGGUGCGAUGAGGUGAGGUGACGGGCGGCACGAUCCCGCCCGCGAGUCUCCUCUCACUGGGAGCGAGCCGGGCAGAGAAGUGCUAACAGGAAUGAUGCUCUGCGAGUGCUUCACCUGUGUUGGUGUUUUCCCCCCUCUGGCCUGUCUGUAAUUACCAACAGGAAGCUUCAGACCACACAUCUCCUGUGGGAUGCCUCCUCACACUGGGAGGAGCGGGGGAGGGAAUCCUGAACACCAGCUAGCAACCGUGUGCAAACUGGAGCUCUUCACCUGUACUGAUCAGCGGCUGCGUCGUGUGAACACUGCCUGUAACUUAUCGAAAUAUCUGAUUCCGGAUCAAUGUGAAACAUCGUAGAGUUCCCCUUUACCAAUGAUUAAUUCAUUAUUUUGAUUGCCAAAAGACCCAAUGACGUCUGAGUCAACUAAUUGAGAUCUGGGGAAAAAAAACCCGACUUUGUACCAUCGAAGUCUGAAAUGUCUUUUUAGUACAAUGUGCUACAUUGUGUUAUUUCCAUUGAACGUGGUGAUUUUCCUUGUUCGUGGAUUUUGGCAGCCCAGACGUGGCCGUUACGGUUGAUGAUGCGCUCACUCCUCGGUGGCCUCACUAUGGCUCAGAGCACCUUGUGAGCAGUCUGUUUGUCAGGCCCGGAGCGAUUGGUAAGUUUUGAUGUCCAGUAUCCUCUGGGAGGCUCAGAAGAUGAACCGGACAGCACCCGCGCUUGGCCAUGUGGAGCUGUGAGCGGGCCGAAUGAAAGGGGAUCCUUGUUCCACCGAUGCGGAUUAGAUGUGGAAGCGACACACGCUACCGACCGACUGGUUUUGUGAAUGACUGAUUCACUGACUGGACAGUUCACACCGACAGGCUGUCUGCUUGUAACAGAGCACGCUUUGUACGAGACCGGAAACACUGAAAUAUUGUUGUGUUUUCUGUCCAUCAUCAGCUUCUUGUUCUGCAUUAAGGACUGCACUGUGUUGGUGUUGGUUCCUAAUUGAGCCUGAGCACUGAAACACUGGGAGAGCACGGAAUGUAUGUAGGGUUUUGUAAAAAAAAUUGUUAGGGACAACUCCACACUCACUCAGUUCGAGCAGUCAGUCACCGACAGCAAACUCCCAAAAAUGGGGAAAAAGAAAGUGAGUCUGGAAACGUCUCUAAUGUUAAUUUCUUCAUCUGUUUUGAGUGGCCUGUGUGUGUUUCUAUAAAUUGAACAUUGCUGGUUGAGCAAGGCAGUGGAUGCACAUGGUAUUUAUACAAUGCUUGUUUGACAUUUUUUGAUUCAGGGAAAGACUAAAGAGAAAUUACAGCUUAACCAGGGGCCAGACCCAUUUAAAGCUCAGCCUGAGAAAUCAAAGCUGUAGUGCACAUACGGUGAAUAAGGCCUAAAUGCUGAUGGAUGGAUGAAUGAAAUGGUGCAGAUUGAUUUUCUUUUGUCUGCCGAUCAGUUGUAACAGACGGUUACAUAGCCCUGGUUAUAUUUUUGUUAGUGGUGAGGGAAGGUCAAGGUCUGAUCCCUUGAAGCUCUCAAUUGAAUUAUUGUCCUCAAAUUAAUUGACAGGGGCAAAAUGUCUGACUUCAGGUGUAUUUAGGUUUUGAUUAGCUGUUCAUACGUUCAAUAGAACUCUGGAUAUUUAUUGAAUAUUACUGAUAAAGGCAGUGAGAGAAUCAACUGGGACUUCAUCAAUCUGUCAUCCUGUCUGUUUGUCAAAACUAUAUCUACCAGUCCAUAUCUGGUUAAAUCCGCUCCCUGUAUUCCCCAACCAGAACAUCCUCAGCAAGGUAGCUACGUCUUCUCGUUGCAGUGGUCAUUGUCUAUAUUUGACAUUUAAAGUACAUCCCUGCCCCCAAAAAAUAUUUCUUAACCUGUAUGCUUGAUAGUACAGUGGCAUGCUGGCGAGAACUGGUCAGCAGGGCUGCACGAUUGAUUUGAUGUAAAUGUUCACUUCACUCAUUUACCCCACAUUGAGAAUAUAAUGGUGCCUGAUAGUGGAUCAGCACAUCAACCUUGGACAGGAGAAAGGGAACGCUCCCGCUUUUAGCUAGAAUGCAGCAGCUUCAUGAAUCACACUCUGAACUUUUUUGUCUUGUCUUCUCUUGGCUCGCACAACCUUUGAACAAGUAUUGUUCUGUGCAUAAGAUGGCGAGAGAGGGACAGAAGCUAUACAUCUCAAAAUGUGAACCAACAACUGUCAAAAAUCUCAGACUGAGAUUUCAGUCUAAGUCUGAAACUGAAACUGAAAUCCAUGUAGAUAUUUGGACACUCCCAAGCCCUAAGGUAACUUUCCUGAGGGCUCGGACCUUUAUUAGCUUGUUAGAGCCGUGGUGUGUUGUUCCCAAUCCUUGUGAGGCAAGGCCACGUGAUGCAAAGUUCAAAGCUUUAUUAAUACCCUCCUCAAACCUUGCUCCAACAAUAGGCAGCCUUAAGCAGCGUGUCGGUCCGAAUGGCGAGGGUUGAAUAUUGUGAUUGGCCAGUGAGCCCAGUCAUGACAAGUGCCUGGAGCAUGCUCUCAUGCGCACCUCGACUGAUGACAUGACAGGUACAGAGAGAGGCCUUUGCCGAGUUCUGCCUUCCUGCUGAGAACGGCUGAACGUCACAGGAGCGCACACAACUAAACUACUGGUGUAAUGCACCAGCGUGGCGGGAUUUCUCCAGGUAGAAGAGACGGAGCGAAGCCAUGUACUGCCCACGGCACCAAAAUAAAGCAACAGCAACAAAGCACUUUGUUAGAAAUAUGAGAAGUUUCGUUGUGAAACUGCGGUGGGACAACUAACUGACGGGCGCUUAGCUUGAGGUAAUUAAUGGACGUCACUGCACUAACUUGCAUUGAGGAUCGAACACCUAAAAUAUUAACGGACCGAUUUCCGGUUGACGCUGUGGGUAAAAGAAGUCAAUACAGAUGCCCAUCUAUUCAGACAUCUCACUGUCCAUGUUAUCGUUAAACUGAGCAAUACUUUUGUUAAAGCCUGGAGCGUCAUCUCAGCAACUCAAGUCCGUGUGAUGCAUCCUGUUCCCAGCCCCCUGUUUGGGUUUUCAUGUGUGAGUCGCUUGAAUGAAUCAGUUUACCCAGACGUAUUCCCGCCAUCCAGCUGGUGACUGGUGUGAGUUUCCCAGCCGACCUUCCUGCUGGGCUGGUAUUUCUGUUUCCCUGGAAGCCCCCUAUUGGCAUUUUGACCCACAGCAGUGAUUUUUAUCCCGUGGCCAGAGCAGAGCGCCCUGUAAUGGCAGAAUGGAAAAAAAGGUAAACUGCUUUUCCGUGCGCAUAAACUACAGUAACUUUUUAUAACCCAUCUCCAAAGUUUUGAUAACGCUGUCUGACGGAAGCAACAAAGCAGGAAAACAUUUUCACUUAUAAAGGUAGAUUCCUUAGUAAAAUUGUGAAAACCAAAUACACACAAGAACUCCAUUUAAAAAUAUCAACGUCUCCUUGGUCAAAUCAUUGGGGUUUUCUGUUUUUCACUUUAAAGAGCUAGGAGAUGUCUUAAAUGAUCUCAUUUUCUACUCAUGUGGUCCAGUAUUCUAUGAGUCUGAGAUACAUGUUUCUGAAUGGUUCACUUUUCUGCUCGGCUUAGUUUUGUUUGUUGAUUUGUGUUUGGCUCCCCCAGCUGGCAGCCCUGCCACUGAGUAUGUGCGUGUGUGCAUUGUUUGUGAGUGCUAGAUGCUCCUUUCAGAAAGAUGUGAUGUGUUAAAUGGUGUUUUUAGUUUCCUCCUCUCCUGCCAUCUCCAUUUUAGCCCCAUUCCUUCUCCUCCUUCUUCUUCAUCCUCUGUCCACUUCCCCUCGUCUGAUUCCUCUUCCUCCUCAUCUGUUGUUCGUUCCAUUCCUCCCUUCCACCUACCCUGCACUGGUCAGACAGUGAGCGAGGAGGCUUCCGACAAGCGGCUCCGGCGCUGAGACGAACUUCAGACGGAGAUUAUCUCCUUCCUCUCCCCCCAGCUCUCUACAGGCACAGUGCAAGAUUACACCUUUUCCAACACAGCUCCCAUCACCCCAUGCUGGGGUCAGAGGGCGAGAUGGAGUCGGGGGGCGGUGGGGGCUCUGAGCAGAGAAAGAACAUUCUGUACCAGAGAAAAGGCAGCACUGGUUCCCUCCUGCUGAGCACGAACAGUCACCGUAUGGUUGGUGGGACCACACAGUCUGAUGGUUCUGAUUGGCUUUCCGUGUCAGUCGGGAGGCAGCCCCUGAAGGUCAUGUCAUGGUCACUGCCUGGUGAGGAUAGUUUGUCCUAAUGGAAGGACAGUAGCUAUCUUCUCCCUCAUUCACCCAAUUUUGUAAAUGGAAAAACUAUCAGAGGGCUUCAAAUGCCUGGCACCUCACUGAUUUUUAAAAUCUUAAAUAUUAGGUAUUUCCCAAACUGUGCUGGAUUAGUGUCACGAUCGAGGUGCUUUAUGUUUGGUCAAACAAGUGUAGACCAACAGUAAAAACAAUAAUAUAAUAAAUUACUGGUUGAUUUAGAACUGCCACUU